AUUUAGUACAAUUUCCACUGUACUUUCAGAAAAUAGAUAUAAUGUGGUUCCAUUUUGCACGUAUAUAGGCUUUUUUUCCAAAGCAGGCAAAAACCAACCACAAUUUGAUUUGGAUAUCCUCCUCAGCAAAACCUUUUUUGCCUUGUACAGGCUUACAAAUGAAUCAUAAUACUGUUUCUUAGCAAAACAAAGACAGGACAAGAAACUCUCUAAAAUGGUAAAGAAAAAUAAAUAGACAACAACUAAUCAGACUACCCAAUGGACAGAGAAAAGAGAGGCUGCACAUGGAGUACUGAGCACUGAGCAUCCACCGACAAGUGGGAAAAUCAAGGUCUUCUACUUGCUUUCAGCAUUCUUUUGCCAGCUUGAUAAGCAUUGUUUGCAAUUAAUACCACCAACUGAUAUGACAUCAUCGGAAUAUAUAUAUAAAAAAUGAAAAUAAAAAAACCCUCCACUCCUGAUGCAGUAAUGCACCCAUAGUCAAAAUGGCUCAAGUCAAUUUUCUCAUAUUCAUCCAACAGUUUAGUGGUCAAAAUCGAUCAUAAGUUCAUAACACACCCUUUUAAAGGGUAUGCACAGGCCAUUUUGCGAAAAUUACCCUUUGUUCAUAUCGCUCGCAUUUAGUGAAAGGUAAAAGAGCAUAUUGUAGGAAGCAAUAAGAGCAAGAAAAAUUAUGAAUAACUAUGAUAAUAACAUUACUAGGAAGUAGGAACAGGACAAUCUAGAGACUUGAGACUGAAUUACUCAAGAGGCUGCGGGCUACAUGUUUUUCCUUAGUGCAGCCGCUUCAGCUUCUUAAACAUUUUCACCAACUAACACAGUAAACAGUGAAAAAGUAAACACCCACCCCUUUCUCCAAAACACGGAGUCCAUAGUAUAAAGAAAAAGGCUACCACAGACAACACUUUUCCCCUUUCCCCUGUCCACAACCAAAAUCCCCAUAUCUACUUUUCUUUACCCCCAUAUCAAAUUUUCCCGAGAAAAUUUAGGAAAAUCGAAGGAGGGAAACAUUAAUAUAGUCCAUAAAGUUCAAAGAAAAAAUUGAUUUGAAAAUAAAAUCAUGGGAAGGUAAAUUAGAUGCGGAAAUUCUUUCCCGUGAAGGUCUGACCGAACUGCCAAUUAGGUGGUGCGAUGUUCCAGGAAGUAGAUGUGCGCCUAUCACUGCCCGUGACCCUAAACGAAAGAGACUGCCCCACAAGCACUGCAUUUGAUUGCCAAUUUUGCCCCCAAUUUCUGCUCAUGGUCAGCCACCCUGUUUUUGAUCCCUUGAUGCUCACCUUCACUAUAUCCCCUGCACCUGCAACGUUCGUGAUCAGAACCAGAUUGAAGUAACGGAAUCCAUUUAUCGUGAAUCUAAUUCCGCCUUGCUUCCUGCAUGGUAUCCUGGAAACCCAAAAAGAAAAUGUGAAAUAAAUUAGUACUUUUUUUAAUUACCGAAUAGUCCCAAACAAAAAAGAAAAAAAUUCGUGGAUCUGAGGCUUUAUCUCUUUCUUUUGUUUUCAUCAUGGCGAGCGAUCCAACACACGCGUGGGAUAACGUGUAUUUUUGUCCCGUAAUUUUCACCCUUUUCCGGAUUUUUCGGGUCACUCUACUCAUGAAAGGUGAAGGUUAUCUUUGCCAUUUUAUAAAUAUGCAGUGCGUUCACCAGAAGGAGACUAGGGUGAGUUUAAAAAAUAAAUAUAAAUUUAUAAAUAUAUGGCUUACUGUACAUCGGGAGAUAUUGUAAUUUCUCCCCAACAAGUGACCAAUUGCUGAAAAGAAGAAACAGAUAGCCAUUAUGCGAAAAUUAUUCUUUUGAGGCCGUUCGCUUCCCGAGAAAAAUGCAUGAGAAAAAUAAAUGCUUUGAAAAAUAUGGCCAUCUCUCAUUUUUAAUAGCAAUCAAGCAAAAUAACCAGCGAAAACUGAAAUCAAAAAGGGGAGAAAUGAAAUCUGACCCAGAAAUUGUAAGCAAAAACAGAGGCAGAGAUGCUUAGUGCACUCACCGGCGGUAUGCCACGGGGACUAUUCCAGCGCGGUACUCGGCGAUCUUGAGGAACAUGGGCAUGGCGAGAUCGAAAUGGGGACGAGGUGGGUUGCACCACCCACCAUUGUCGCUGGGCAGAGCGUAGUUAGGAGGACAGAAGUUGGUCGCCGUUAUAAAGAUGGAUGGGUUACCGGGAUUGCACCAUCUGGGAUCGUUUGCACAUUUGAUCUCAAAGCAAGCACCGCAACUAAGGCCAUUGUUGAAGAGUGCUGUGCUCAGCGCUGCUGUGUUCACUCCAUACCCUUGGCUGUAAAGAUUCCCAUACCCACAAGCGCCGCCCAUAGUUCCAGAGGCGUCGCUGCCACCAUAGAAAGUAGCAUGGGCACUUUCCCAAGGGCCACCGGUGUAAACCCCAGGGAUUCUUGCGUUAGCCACCACGAAAAGCGACACCAAAGACACAAUGCAGAGCAGAUUAGCCAUUCGGGAAAGCCUGUGUGAAAGAGAAAGAGAGGGACCGAGAAGAAAGUACGGCGAGUUUUUUUGCGAGAAUUGAGAUUGGAGCGAAUGAGGAAAGCGGGAAGAAGGUGGGGGUAUUUAUGGAGAGCCCGAGGGGUGAGGGAAUCAAGAGAAGGCAGAGACCAGAGAGCCUGUAAAACAAUUACUCUGUAAUUAAUUCUCUCUCUCCCCCUCUCUCUCU
rnacentral:misc_RNA from 1 species